rnacentral:lncRNA from 1 species
UCAGGGUUGUAGGCUAGGGGCUCAUAGAGUUCUUCGUACGCCUCACCCGGGGUUGGGUGUGGGAUAGCAGGGUCACUCAUAGAUGAUUAGUGUUUUAACUUAUGUCCCCUUAUGGUUGUUAGUAUGGUAGUUACGGUUUGUCAUUAUUGCAUGAGACUGUAUUUAUGUUUCUUAUGUUUACAUAAUUAUUUACGUUAUUUCUGCGGGAUUUACUAAU